rnacentral:rRNA from 1 species
CCUACGGGGGGCUGCAGUGAGGAAUAUUGGUCAAUGGCCGCAGGUCUGAACCAGCCAAGUCGCGUGAGGGAUGACGGUCCUAUGGAUUGUAAACCUCUUUUGUCAGGGAGCAAAGGGCGCCACGUGUGGCGUUUUGCGAGUACCUGAAGAAAAAGCAUCGGCUAACUCCGUGCCAGCAGCCGCGGUAAUACGGAGGAUGCGAGCGUUAUCCGGAUUUAUUGGGUUUAAAGGGUGCGCAGGCGGAAUGUCAAGUCAGCGGUAAAAUUUCGGGGCUCAACCUCGCUCCGCCGUUGAAACUGGCGGUCUUGAGUGGGCGAGAGGUAUGCGGAAUGCGUGGUGUAGCGGUGAAAUGCAUAGAUAUCACGCAGAACUCCGAUUGCGAAGGCAGCAUACCGGCGCCCAACUGACGCUGAAGCACGAAAGCGUGGGUAUCGAACAGGAUUAGAUACCCUUGUAGUC